UCGUCACUGUCGUCCUUGUGCUACUGUUUGGAGCACCAGUGCCGAAACAAUGAUGUGGGUUCGUCGCACACCACCCAGAAACCCAUGAUAUCACUUGUGUAUUUCUGUUAAAUUAGAAUCAUUCUGUUUGGUUUAAACAGUUUUACAAAACGACGUGCUGAAGAGACAAUAUAUUAUUGGAUUAGCAGCUGAAUUCAAAGUCGUUAAACUUUGAAUGAAAGUGGCAACGGCGACGACAGUUUGGGUCUUUGGCAGAUAUCCGAAAACUUGAAGGAGAUCGAACACUAUAUAGGGGCUCCAACAAAGAAUGAAUACUGAAACGUGAAAAAAUCGUUUUUGAUUAGACUUCAUACUUUGAAUAUUCUUACUUUGACAUUAUCUUUUUAUUAUUUCCAUUAUUCUUUUAAAUAUAAUUGUUUCGAAAGUUCUAAUUAUGAUAAUAGUUCAUAAUUAUGAUAAAUACAUAAUUUUUUUCUUUUUAAAUAUUCAAGUUGUAAUUAUUAUAUAUGUAUUAUUUUUGAUAUUGUUUACUAAGAAUAUUUAAUUAGUAGAAAAGAUUUAUACAUUAUUUUUUUUUACAAUAAACUAGUUCAAUUUAAGUUGUAAUUAUCAUAUAUGUAUAUAUUAUUUUUGAUAUUAUAUACUAUUAUAUUUAACACAUAACAAAUAUCAUUUGAAUUAAGGAUAUUUAAUUAAUAGAAAGGAUUUACUCAUUUGUGAAAAUAUAAAUAUUGCAUAUGUAAAAAUUAAUAAAAUUAUCAUUGAUAUUUACAAUAUUAAUAUCGAAAAUCAAAGAAAUUAUUGAAAAAUUUAAGAUAACUGAAAAAUCUCAUUUCAAAACUCUUCGAAAUCGAUUAUUAAUUUUAAAUGAAUGGUUAUGCAAAAGUGUGAAUGAGAAAUUUUAAAAAGAUGGAAAUCUAUCGCGGUUGAGUGGAGAAUAAAAGUUGCAAAAUUAA